GACGGGGGAUGCAAGCGUUAUCCGGAAUCACUGGGCGUAAAGCGUCUGCAGGUGGUUUCCUAAGUCCACUGUUAAACCUUGAGGCUCAACCUCAAAUCUGCAUUGGAAACUAGGAGACUUGAGUAUAGUAGGGGUAGAGGGAAUUUCCAGUGGAGCGGUGAAAUGCGUAGAUAUUGGAAAGAACGCCGAUGGCGAAGGCACUCUACUGGGCUAUUACUGACACUCAGAGACGAAAGCUAGGGGAGCAAAUGGG
rnacentral:rRNA from 1 species